CCGGAGUGGACGCAUCACUGGUGUUCGGGUUGUCAUGCCAAUGGCACUGCCCGGUAGCUAAAUGCGGAAGAGAUAAGUGCUGAAAGCAUCUAAGCACGAAACUUGCCCCGAGAUGAGUUCUCCCUGAGACUUUAGGUCUCCUGAAGGAACGUUGAAGACGACGACGUUGAUAGGCCGGGUGUGUAAGCGCAGCGAUGCGUUGAGCUAACCGGUACUAAUGAACCGUGAGGCUUAACCUU
rnacentral:rRNA from 1 species